ACGUCCGUACCAUGCUGAAUAUACCGGUUCUCGUUAGAUCACCGAAUUUAAAAAUCAUUGGGCGCGGUCAGUAUUUAUUGGUGACCACCUGGGAACACUGCGUGCCGUU